GAAACCAUGUCAAGUCCCAAACUCUACUGAUAAUGACCUUGUCAAAUUGAAUGUACAUUUCAAAUCUACAAAUCGUCUUGACGCCUGUUGUUUAUAUAUUGCUAUAUUUAGAUCAAGAAUUAGAUUUGUAGAGAUUAACAUCAAUCAAAUCCUCUCUCAAGCAUGUGCCAAACUGUUUUUGUUGUCAUAAUUAUGCAGUGUAGUUUGGAUAUGGUUUCAAUCUAUCUUCAUAUACUUUCCUUGGUUCUUGGUUUCUUGAUCCAUGGAAAUAGAUGUGAUGAAUUACCUUGCACAGAAAAGUGCUUCAUCAUACAUUUUGUAAUUUAUUUUUAUAUCAUUCAUUUCUGUUAUAUAUCAUACACAGACUUUUGUCUUCUACAUAUUUGAAUUGUAUGGUUCAAAUAAAGUGAUUUUGU
rnacentral:misc_RNA from 1 species